rnacentral:rRNA from 1 species
GAAGGUGGGGAUGACGUCAAAUCAUCAUGCCCCUUAUGACCUGGGCUACACACGUGCUACAAUGGUUGGUACAACGAGUUGCGAGUCGGUGACGGCGAGCUAAUCUCUUAAAGCCAAUCUCAGUUCGGAUUGUAGGCUGCAACUCGCCUACAUGAAGUCGGAAUCGCUAGUAAUCGCGGAUCAGCACGCCGCGGUGAAUACGUUCCCGGGCCUU